AUUGAACGCUGGCGGCAGGCCUAACACAUGCAAGUCGAGCGGAUGAAGGGAGCUUGCUCCUGGAUUCAGCGGCGGACGGGUGAGUAAUGCCUAGGAAUCUGCCUGGUAGUGGGGGAUAACGUCUGGAAACGGGCGCUAAUACCGCAUACGUCCUGAGGGAGAAAGUGGGGGAUCUUCGGACCUCACGCUAUCAGAUGAGCCUAGGUCGGAUUAGCUAGUUGGUGGGGUAAAGGCCUACCAAGGCGACGAUCCGUAACUGGUCUGAGAGGAUGAUCAGUCACACUGGAACUGAGACACGGUCCAGACUCCUACGGGAGGCAGCGGUGGGGAAUAUUGGACAAUGGGCGAAAUCCUGAUCCAGCCAUGCCGCGUGUGUGAAGAAGGUCUUCGGAUGGUAAAGCACUUUAAGUGGGGAGGAAGGGCAGUAAGUUAAUACCUUGCUGUUGUGACGGUACCAACAGAAUAAGCACCGGCUAACUUCGUG
rnacentral:rRNA from 1 species